GUGGAUUAGAUACCCUGGUAGUCCACGCUGUAAACGAUGAGAACUAGGUGUCGUGGGUGUUGACCCCCGCGGUGCCGUAGCUAACGCAUUAAGUUCUCCGCCUGGGAAGUACGGUCGCAAGAUUAAAACUCAAAGGAAUUGACGGGGGCCCGCACAAGCGGUGGAGCAUGUGGUUUAAUUCGACGCAACGCGCAGAACCUUACCCAGACUUGACAUCCUGGAAAGCUGGCCCAAAAGUCGGCGUGCCCGCAAGGGAAUCCAGAGACAGGUGCUGCAUGGCCGUCGUCAGCU
rnacentral:rRNA from 1 species